AUACUUACCUGGCAGGGGAGAAACCAUGAUCACAAAGGUGGGUUUCCUAGAACAAGGCUUAUCCAUUGCACUGUGGAUGUGCUGACUCCUGUAAUUUCCCCAAAGGUGAGAAAUUCGACUGCAUAAUGUGUGGUAGUGUGGGAUUGCAUUCACAUUUUCCCAUA